GUAGUCCUGGCCGUAAACGAUGGGUACUAGGUGUGGGAGGUUCGACCCCUUCCGUGCCGCAGCUAACGCAUUAAGUACCCCGCCUGGGGAGUACGGCCGCAAGGUUGAAACUCAAAGGAAUUGACGGGGGCCCGCACAAGCGGUGGAGCAUGUGGCUUAAUUCGAUGCAACGCGAGGAACCUUACCAGGGCUUGACAUUGUGGUGGUAGGAGCCCGAAAGGGUGACGACCCCUGGUUUCCAGGGGAGCCACAACAGGUGCUGCAUGGUUGUCGUCAGCUCGUGUCGUGAGAUGUUGGGUUAAGUCCCGCAACGAGCGCAACCCUUGCCCUUAGUUGCUACCGGGGAAACCCGGGCACUCUAAGGGGACUGCCAGCGACAAGCUGGAGGAAGGUGGGGAUGACGUCAAAUCCUCAUGGCCCUGAUGCCCUGGGCUACACACGUGCUACAAUGGCCGGUACAGAGGGUCGCGAACCCGCGAGGGGGAGCCAAUCCCAGAAAGCCGGCCUCAGUUGGGAUUGCAGGCUGCAACCCGCCUGCAUGAACGCGGAAUCGCUAGUAAUCGCGCAUCAGCCACGGCGCGGUGAAUACGUUCCCGGGCCUUGUACACACCGCCCGUCACACCACGAAAGUCGACUUCACCUGAAGUCGCUGGGCUAACCCUCGAUGAGAGGGAGGCAGGCGCCGAGGGUGGGGUUGAUGAUUGGGGUGAAGUCGUAACAAGGUAGCCGUAGGGGAACCUGCGGCUGGAUCACCUCC
rnacentral:rRNA from 1 species